rnacentral:rRNA from 1 species
AUACGUAGGGGGCGAGCGUUGUCCGGAAUGACUGGGCGUAAAGGGCGUGUAGGCGGCGGUGUAAGUCUGGAGUGAAAGUCCCGCAUUCAAUGUGGGAAUUGCUUUGGAUACUGCAGUGCUAGAGUGCGGAAGAGGUAAGUGGAAUUCCCAGUGUAGCGGUGAAAUGCGUAGAGAUUGGGAGGAACACCAGUGGCGAAGGCGACUUACUGGGCCGUAACUGACGCUGAGGCGCGAAAGCGUGGGGAGCGAACAGGAUUAGAUACCCUGGUAGUCCACGCGGUAAACGAUGAAUGCUAGGUGUUGCGGGUAUCGACCCCUGCAGUGCCGGAGUAAACACAAUAAGCAUUCCGCCUGGGGAGUACGGCCGCAAGGUUGAAACUUAAAUGAAUUGGCGGGG